UGGGCACGAAAAGUAAAGGAAAACGCCCGACGAAAAGAAAAGGAACACGCAAGUCUCCUACCCACUCCCCACUUCCCCAACCCUCGUUCCCAACAGCUGGGUGCAGGUGGCGGCGGUGAGAUCGGAGAAGGAGGUGGGCAGUGCUCGUUGGCGGAUGCGGGGGCAGGCUGCAGCGUUGGAGGUCGGAGGAGAAAGGAUCUGGGAGGUGGGGGCAGGAGGCGUUGGAGAUCGGAAGAGAUGGGGGAAAGCCGUGUGGUGGGCGGCGACCACGGACGGAUAUGGGCGCAAGUAGUGAUGGAGGUCGGAGGAGAUGCAAGGAGGGCGGCCGCUAGAUCGGGGAGGCUGUGGAGCAGGGCGGCAGCAAUGGUGAGGAGUUGGAGGAGAGCGGCGGGGUGGAGGCGCGUGGAGAAGAAGAGAAAAAUGGGGAAUUGUUUUAGGUCUCCACCUCUUUCUUUCCCUUGCCGACGUUCGUCGUAGCGAGCAGAAGAGAUGAGUAGAAGAUUUGGUCCGCCCCUUCGCCUGCCAUGGAUCUGCCAUAAUUCUAAAUAAUUCAAGCACGAGGAGAAAAUGAACCCAGUGGAGCACAGGGAGGAUCGCAGCAGUAAAUGAUUUUGUUGGUAAUAUGUUGGGCGAGAUUGCACAUAAUUUAUAACCUUCGGGUUGGAGUCUUAGUCCAUUUUCUAGGAGAUAGGUACAACAAUGAAUAUUAGGUGGCAUUGCAAAACAACAUCACCUACAUGUUUUCUAAUAUCCAACUGUCUAUGCAUAUAAAAUACAGUGAAUUAGCAGAGAUAGCUGACGGGAGAAAGGGCACCUUCGAGCCAUCACAUGGCAACACGGUUGAGCCCUUUGACUCAAUGGCCACGGCAAUCUGGAUGUACUAAUUUAGCUCAUUUUUGUUGUUGUUGCGUAUACUGGCUUCAUACUGUUGUAUGGAUGAAAAUCUCCCCCUGAUACGUAGGUUUACCACUACUACUACAUCUGUCCAUAAAAGGAUGUCGCAAGUUUGUCUAAAUUUAGAUAUAUCUAGACACUCUUUAGAGUGUAGAUAGAUCCGAAUUAAGAUUAAUCUCCGACAUCCUUUUAUGGACGGACGGAGUAUUUUACAUUUUGUGCUCAUUCGGAUCCAGCCAAACUGACCCAAGGGAUUUGAUGUUGCGAUUCGUGUCAGGUAAGUUUGUGUCUUUAUCUGUGGAAAAUCACAAACAAUCAAAUUGUAUAAAUAGAGUCCUACCUAAUAAACUUAUUUUCACAUCCCUCAAGGCUACUGUUAUUUUAUUUUGGCCGCAAUAAGGCAUUCAUAAUUUCCCCUCUAUUAUUUAUUUGCAUUGUCUAAUUUUUUUUCUCUACAAAUAAUUUAAUUGUUGGUUCUUAUCUGUGGAAGUUGAUUUGAAUUUGGUAUAAUGGUUUUGCCAGAUGUAUUCUGCAUACUCAAAGAAUUUCUUUCAAUUUCUAUUGUUGACAUUUGCCCACGUAUUGCUUUUCAUUUUAGGUUGUAAGUGCCAUACCCUCCGUGAAGUAUUGAAUUUGUUUGCAUUUUUCCUUAGAUUAUCUUUUAGUCUUGACCUUUCCUAUAUUGCUCUUGAGCAUUCUGUUCUUACUAUACUAUGGCUAUUCUAAUUGUAAGAGAUGCAUCCUUACUGAAUUAUUUUAUGUUUAUUAUCAUAAUAGAUUUAUGUAGCUUCUUAUGCACAGGAAAAACAGUGAAUCCAUUUCUUCAAAUAUGAGGUUGAUGUCUAGGCCCGGCCCAUGGUUUCUUGGAUUAUGAAAAGGAAUAUACUCAGUUCAGCUAUUACCAAGCCAUAGGUGUGCGUUCUUUGUUAUGAAAUGAGAAGUGCACGCCUUUUGUUGUGAACUGAAAUCCUAUAUGGGUUGUGAUUUUUUUUGUUCUGUGCAUUGGAAAGAAAGCAGUGGUGUAUGUUUGGGAUAAAAAAACAUUGUGGAUGAAAGGGAUUAGUUCUACUAGGGACAUAAUUAUUGAAACAUAUCUGCAUGUAUUCUAUUUUUGUGGUUCUAACUAAUAUUAGGAUCUUACUUCUUAUUCCAUUUAUAUAGAAUCUCGGGUUGAUAUUUGGAUCAUUAGGAAACGGAUGGGGCAAGAGGAUCAGCGAGUCGCCAAGUAUCCCUUCGAGUCGAAGAGGUCUUUGUUAGCAUGUCAUGCAUCACCAAGCCAGGCGCUUCCUCACACAUUUUUCUUGGCACAACUACUCUGCCUUUUAUAAUGCUUGCACGGUUAAUCCAACUUUCGAGGAUCUUACUGACGUAUCAUCAUGGACCAGAAGGGACGUAAACUGCAUGUUGUGCAGGCAUGGGUUUCACCGACUGAAGAGAUCAUCAAAUCAAAUAUUGAUGGCUACACAGGGAAAUUCUCAUGGUGGAUGGGAUCUCAUCGCAAGGAAUUGCAAGGGUUAGACCAUGGCGGCAAGAGUUGGGUGAAGAUCAUAGCCGGGAUGCCUUCUCUGCAGAACUGAGAGCAGCUGAGGAAACAAUUAACCUGGCAUUUGAUCUGGGAAUCAUCCGCGUGGAGGUGGAAAAGACGUGAUGCUUGUCCACUAGGCAUUGAACAAUACUCAAGAGUUUCAGUGCUAGACGUUAUUUUGUGACUGCAGUAUAAGCAUGUGUGCUCUGCUGACCAAGCAGCCUAUGGCCUGGUGAAUUUGAGUGCUAAGUGUAAUGUGAAUGAAACCAUGUAUUGGGAGUAUGAAUUAGCAGCACCUAUUGCUGGGAUUGUAUGAGCUACCUGAUCUUUGAGUAAUAAAGCGAUUGCUCAAGUUCAAAAGAACAAAAA